AGCGAACGCUGGCGGCAGGCCUAACACAUGCAAGUCGAACGAACCCUUCGGGGUUAGUGGCGGACGGGUGAGUAACACGUGGGAACGUGCCUUUAGGUUCGGAAUAACUCAGGGAAACUUGUGCUAAUACCGAAUGUGCCCUUCCGGGGAAAGAUUUAUCGCCUUUAGAGCGGCCCGCGUCUGAUUAGCUAGUUGGUGAGGUAAUGGCUCACCAAGGCUACGAUCAGUAGCUGGUCUGAGAGGAUGACCUGCCACAUUGGGACUGAGACACGGCCCAAGCUCCAACGGGAGGCAGCAGUGGGGAAGCUUGCGCAAGGGGGGAAAGCCGGACGCAGCCAUGCCGCGUGGAUGAUGAAGGUCUUAGGAUUGUAAACCGCUUUCAGGAGGGACGAAGCCACUCGGGUGAACAGCCCAGAGGGUGACGGUACCUCCAGAAGAAGCCCCGGCUAACUUCGU
rnacentral:rRNA from 1 species